AAUGAACGCUGGCGGCAUGCCUAAUACAUGCAAGUCGAGCGACCGCACAGUAAGCUCUUGCCCUUGCCGUUGGCGACUGACGGAUGAGUAACGCGUGCAUCACAAACCACUAUUUCUGGGAGGAUUUCGGAGAGCCACUUCUGAUACUAGCGCAUACAUUGUACCGCUUGGAUCAAUAGUUCUUGACAGCUUUGCCGUCACAUAUAGAUGGAUCCGUGCUAGCUUAGCUAGUUGGUAAGGUCACGGCUCACCAACGAAACGAUGCGUAGCCGACCUGAGAGGGUGAUCGGCCACACUUGAACUGAGACACGGUCCCGACUCCUACGGGAGGCAGCAGUUGGGAAUCUUUGGCAAUGGGCGAAAGCCUGACGGAGCCACGCCGGGUGGGGGAAGAGGGUCUUCGGAUCUUAAAACUCUGUUAUUAGGGAAGAACAAAUGUGUAAGUAACUAUGGACGUCUUGACGGUACCUAAUCAGUAAGCCCCGGCUAACUACGUG
rnacentral:rRNA from 1 species